rnacentral:lncRNA from 1 species
AGCCACAGGCCUAGAGGGAAGACCUGGGUCUAAUAUGAGAUUGACUGAUGUCCGAAUUCCAAAUCUGCAACCUACACCUUCCUGAACUUCGAUUUUUUAAACUUGUUAAAUACAUUGCAGGGCCUUUCCUGAGUCCAAGAAACCAUGAAGCUCACAAUUCAGCAUGUCAAUUCUCUACAUCAACUGAAAUAACUGGUGAUGUUG